CUACGGGAGGCAGCAGUGAGGAAUAUUGGACAAUGGGCGGGAGCCUGAUCCAGCCAUGCCGCGUGCAGGAAGACUGCCCUAUGGGUUGUAAACUGCUUUUGUACAGGAAGAAACACUCCCUCGUGAGGGAGCUUGACGGUACUGUAAGAAUAAGGAUCGGCUAACUCCGUGCCAGCAGCCGCGGUAAUACGGAGGAUCCAAGCGUUAUCCGGAAUCAUUGGGUUUAAAGGGUCCGUAGGUGGAUGAUUAAGUCAGAGGUGAAAUCCUGCAGCUCAACUGUAGAAUUGCCUUUGAUACUGGUUGUCUUGAAUUAUUGUGAAGUAGUUAGAAUAUGUGGUGUAGCGGUGAAAUGCAUAGAUAUCACAUAGAAUACCGAUUGCGAAGGCAGAUUACUAACAAUACAUUGACACUGAUGGACGAAAGCGUGGGGAGCGAACAGGAUUAGAUACCCUGGUAGUCCACGCCGUAAAGCGAUGGAUAUCUAGCUGUUCGGAUUUAUCUGAGUGGCUAAGCGAAAGUGAUAAGUU
rnacentral:rRNA from 1 species